UGGGGAAUAUUGCACAAUGGAGGGAACUCUGAUGCAGCGACGCCGCGUGAGUGAUGUAGGAAUUCGUUUCGUAAAACUCUGUUCUAUGGGAAGAAAAGGACUGUACCAUAGGAGAAAGCUCCGGCUAAAUACGUGCCAGCAGCCGCGGUAAUACGUAUGGAGCGAGCGUUGUCCGGAAUUAUUGGGCGUAAAGGGUGCGCAGGCGGCUUUACAAGUUGGAUGUGAAAUAUUGUGGCUCAACCACAAACGUGCAUCCAAAACUGCAAAGCUUGAGUUAAGGAGAGGUAAGUGGAAUUCCUGGUGUAGCGGUGGAAUGCGUAGAUAUCAGGAGGAAUACCGGUGGCGAAGGCGACUUACUGGACUUAAACUGACGCUCAGGCACGAAAGCGUGGGGAGCAAACAGG
rnacentral:rRNA from 1 species